rnacentral:tRNA from 2 species
GCGACACUAGCUCAGUUGGUAGAGCGCAACCUUGCCAAGGUUGAGGUCACGAGUUCGAACCUCGCGUGUCGCUCCA